rnacentral:rRNA from 1 species
AGCACAGAGAGCUUGCUCUCGGGUGACGAGCGGCGGACGGGUGAGUAAUGUCUGGGAAACUGCCUGAUGGAGGGGGAUAACUACUGGAAACGGUAGCUAAUACCGCAUAACGUCGCAAGACCAAAGUGGGGGACCUUCGGGCCUCAUGCCAUCAGAUGUGCCCAGAUGGGAUUAGCUGGUAGGUGGGGUAACGGCUCACCUAGGCGACGAUCCCUAGCUGGUCUGAGAGGAUGACCAGCCACACUGGAACUGAGACACGGUCCAGACUCCUACGGGAGGCAGCAGUGGGGAAUAUUGCACAAUGGGCGCAAGCCUGAUGCAGCCAUGCCGCGUGUGUGAAGAAGGCCUUCGGGUUGUAAAGCACUUUCAGCGGGGAGGAAGGCGGGUGAGGUUAAUAACCUCAUCGAUUGACGUUACCCGCAGAAGAAGCACCGGCUAACUCCGUGCCAGCAGCCGCGGUAAUACGGAGGGUGCAAGCGUUAAUCGGAAUUACUGGGCGUAAAGCGCACGCAGGCGGUCUGUCAAGUCGGAUGUGAAAUCCCCGGGCUCAACCUGGGAACUGCAUUCGAAACUGGCAGGCUAGAGUCUUGUAGAGGGGGGUAGAAUUCCAGGUGUAGCGGUGAAAUGCGUAGAGAUCUGGAGGAAUACCGGUGGCGAAGGCGGCCCCCUGGACAAAGACUGACGCUCAGGUGCGAAAGCGUGGGGAGCAAACAGGAUUAGAUACCCUGGUAGUCCACGCUGUAAACGAUGUCGAUUUGGAGGUUGUGCCCUUGAGGCGUGGCUUCCGGAGCUAACGCGUUAAAUCGACCGCCUGGGGAGUACGGCCGCAAGGUUAAAACUCAAAUGAAUUGACGGGGGCCCGCACAAGCGGUGGAGCAUGUGGUUUAAUUCGAUGCAACGCGAAGAACCUUACCUGGUCUUGACAUCCACAGAACUUUCCAGAGAUGCAUUGGUGCCUUCGGGAACUGUGAGACAGGUGCUGCAUGGCUGUCGUCAGCUCGUGUUGUGAAAUGUUGGGUUAAGUCCCGCAACGAGCGCAACCCUUAUCCUUUGUUGCCAGCGGUUAGGCCGGGAACUCAAAGGA